CAGAGGCAGCUGGAAUGAAUCACAGAAGGGCAGGAACAAGAGUUAAGACUAAUCUAGGUAAGUAAUCUGGGCUUAGACAGUACACUGUGCACAUGGAUGCUGGACUUCCUGAGCAACAGACUCCAGAAGGUCAGGAUGGAAGAUGCGACAUUAUUCACUCUCAUCCUGAACACUGAUCCACCACAAGGGUGGCGAAGGCCAAACAGAGGCUUUACUUCUGAAGGAAGUGAAGGGACUCCUACCCCAGUAAUCACCUGCAGACCAACUUCUACCUGUCAAUAAUAGAGAGCCUCCUGAUCUACUGCUGCAUGGUAUGGUUGACCAGCUGCCCAGAAGAGAACAGGAAGAACCUGCAACAGGUGGUGAGGGUGACAGCAGACCAGCGGCACUACACAGCCCUCCAUCAGAGACAUUAACCGGCAGACUGCAAAAGAAAGCCAGUUGCAUUUCAAAGUAUCCCACCCAGCCUGGACAUCACCUGUUCUAUACACUGCCCUCUGUGGGACUCUUGCAGAGGAACAGGACAGAUCGGGGACAUCAGCAGGAAACUGACAUGGUCGAUUAAACCUUUUGUUUCAAUGCAUGGGGGCAACAAACUCCUGCCGCAAGUGAGAGGCCAAAUGGACGGAUGACCCCAAAUUGAAAAUGGCCACAUGAGUGACUCUCAGCCGAAUCGGCAGCAAGACUCUGUCACCAUCACCUCCCUGUUUACUAACUUCUACAUUUUCUUCAUUUGCUUCAUUUAUACUUCUUGCCUGUUCCGUCCUCCUUUAAGCUAUCUCCCACGCCGUCUGUGCUCAUGUACUCUCCUUCGCCAUCUCCAGCUGCAUCCUUAUCCCCUCCUCUGUCUCCAUGCGUGGCCUCACCUGUGAGCCUUGCUCCGAUUUCAUCUCAGAUUCGUCAUUGUGACUCAUUUCAAUUCAACCAAUAACCCCCUUUCCUCAGCUGGCUACAGGUCUGACACUCCCGUUUAUGCCCAUUCCUGAUGUUGCAGAGAAAAUGUACAGGUUCAUGCAGAACUCUAACUGUGACCUGUAGAACUGGCGUGCCAUGUCCCCUAUGGAAAGGUACUGGCUACAGUACUACUGUGAAACACUAGAGUAUGAGUACAUGACUGCAACUCGCAGCUAUUACAAUCAGCAAUGGAGAAAAGGGAACUAGGAAGAAAAGGAACAGCUCUCCAUCUGCAUGACGAUGAUGAGGGUGUCCGUGAUGAGCUCCUUUUUCCGGAUGACAUCCUAAAUCAGCUCAGCUCCAUUCCUGGGCUCCUGGAGCUGGCUGUGGAGAUGGGCUACCUGCCAGACCUGAACAGCCACGGUGGGUGGGGCAGCAUUUUCAUUCCACUUUUCAGAUUAAGGCCAGAGGUGUUUCGAUUGUAAUUGACCAAAAUAUUCCCUUUGAGAAACAUAAUGUAAUUUCUGAUAUUAACAGCUGGUAUGUUUUUGUCUCUGGAAAACUCUACAAUACAAAAUUAGUUUUAGCCAGUAUAUAUGCCCCCAAAACUGAUAA